rnacentral:rRNA from 1 species
CCUUGCCAGGGCGCUAAACACAUGCAAGUCGAGCGGAUGACGGGAGCUUGCUCCUUGAUUCAGCGGCGGACGGGUGAGUAAUGCCUAGGAAUCUGCCUGGUAGUGGGGGACAACGUUUCGAAAGGAACGCUAAUACCGCAUACGUCCUACGGGAGAAAGCAGGGGACCUUCGGGCCUUGCGCUAUCAGAUGAGCCUAGGUCGGAUUAGCUAGUUGGUGAGGUAAUGGCUCACCAAGGCGACGAUCCGUAACUGGUCUGAGAGGAUGAUCAGUCACACUGGAACUGAGACACGGUCCAGACUCCUACGGGAGGCAGCAGUGGGGAAUAUUGGACAAUGGGCGAAAGCCUGAUCCAGCCAUGCCGCGUGUGUGAAGAAGGUCUUCGGAUUGUAAAGCACUUUAAGUUGGGAGGAAGGGCAUUAACCUAAUACGUUAGUGUUUUGACGUUACCGACAGAAUAAGCACCGGCUAACUCUGUGCCAGCAGCCGCGGUAAUACAGAGGGUGCAAGCGUUAAUCGGAAUUUACUGGGCGUAAAGCGCGCGUAGUUGUUUUGUUAGCUUGGAUGUGAAAGCCCCGGCUCAAGCUUGGUACUGCAUCCAUACCUGGCAGCUUAGAGUAACCGUAAAAGG